rnacentral:rRNA from 1 species
AUGUGUGAGAGAGAAAAAGGAGGAAGAAAGAGAGCACGGGAAGAAGGGUGGCACUCAUCUGCUGGCUCCGGCAAGCUGUGGCUGGUGGUCGCCGGCGACGGCGUGCAAAAUCACAUGAGGAGCUCCUCUCGUGGGGCUCGGGUGCGGGGAAUCAUGGGAGGAGGCUGCGAGGACGGGCACGCUCGGGCGCUCGCUCGAUCUCCUCGGGCGAAGAGGUGGCUGGGAGAUGCGGAGAGGGGAGGAGGUGGCGGCGGCAGCGGGAAGACUGGGAGCAGGGGAUGGAUGGAUCUGAUCUAG